rnacentral:rRNA from 1 species
UUGAACGCUGGCGGCAGGCCUAACACAUGCAAGUCGAACGGUAACAGGAAGCAGCUUGCUUCUUCGCUGACGAGUGGCGGACGGGUGAGUAAUGUCUGGGAAACUGCCUGAUGGAGGGGGAUAACUACUGGAAACGGUAGCUAAUACCGCAUAACGUCGCAAGACCAAAGAGGGGGACCUUCGGGCCUCUUGCCAUCGGAUGUGCCCAGAUGGGAUUAGCUUGUGGUGGGGUAACGGCUCACCAGGCGACGAUCCCUAGCUGGUCUGAGAGGAUGACCAGCCACACUGGAACUGAGACACGGUCCAGACUCCUACGGGAGGCAGCAGUGGGGAAUAUUGCACAAUGGGCGCAAGCCUGAUGCAGCCAUGCCGCGUGUAUGAAGAAGGCCUUCGGGUUGUAAAGUACUUUCAGCGGGGAGGAAGGGAGUAAAGUUAAUACCUUUGCUCAUUGACGUUACCCGCAGAAGAAGCACCGGCUAACUCCGUGCCAGCAGCCGCGGUAAUACGGAGGGUGCAAGCGUUAAUCGGAAUUACUGGGCGUAAAGCGCACGCAGGCGGUUUGUUAAGUCAGAUGUGAAAUCCCCGGGCUCAACCUGGGAACUGCAUCUGAUACUGGCAAGCUUGAGUCUCGUAGAGGGGGGUAGAAUUCCAGGUGUAGCGGUGAAAUGCGUAGAGAUCUGGAGGAAUACCGGUGGCGAAGGCGGCCCCCUG